GCUACGGGAGGCAGCAGUGGGGAAUAUUGGGCAAUGGAGGCAACUCUGACCCAGCAACGCCGCGUGCAUGAUGAAGGUCUUCGGAUUGUAAAGUUCUUUUCUAAGGGAAGAAGAAAGUGACGAUACCUUAGGAAUAUGCCUCGGCUAACUACGUGCCAGCAGCCGCGGUAAUCCGUAGGAGGCAAGAGUUAUCCGGAAUGACUGGGCUUAAAGGGUGCGUAGGUGGUAUGAAACGUUAGUAGCACAACUCCGGGGCUCAACUUCGGAACUACUACUAACACUGUUGUACUUGAGUGCAGGAGAGGCAAUCGGAAUUCCUAGUGUAGCGGUGGAAUGCGUAGAUAUUAGGAGGAACACCAGUGGCGAAGGCGGAUUACUAGACUGUAACUGACACUGAGGCACGAAAGCGUGGGGAGCAAACAGGAUUAGAUACCCUGGUAGUC
rnacentral:rRNA from 1 species